UAUUGCUUUGUUUACUGUCGCAUAAAA
rnacentral:sRNA from 1 species